UACAUAGGGGGCAAGCGUUGUCCGGAAUUAUUGGGCGUAAAGGGCGCGCAGGUGGUUCCUUAAGUCUGAUGUGAAAGCCCACGGCUCAACCGUGGAGGGCCAUUGGAAACUGGGGAACUUGAGGACAGAAGAGGAGAGCGGAAUUCCACGUGUAGCGGUGAAAUGCGUAGAUAUGUGGAGGAACACCAGUGGCGAAGGCGGCUCUCUGGUCUGUAACUGACGCUGAGGCGCGAAAGCGUGGGGAGCAAACAGG
rnacentral:rRNA from 1 species